UGGGGAAUUUUGCACAAUGGGGAAACCCUGAUGCAGCGACGCCGCGGGAUUUAGAAGGCCUUCGGGGUGUAAAAAUCUUUUUUACGGGAUGAAAAUGACAGUACCGUAAGAAUAAGGUCCGGCUAAAUACGUGCCAGCAGCCGCGGUAAUACGUAUGGACCGAGCGUUGUCCGGAAUCAUUGGGCGUAAAGGGUACGUAGGCGGCCUAGUAAGUUAGAAGUGAAAUAAUAUAGCUCAACUAUAUAAAGCUUUUAAAACUGCUAGGCUUGAGAGAUGGAAGGGAAAGUGGAAUUCCUAGUGUAGCGGUGAAAUGCGCAGAUAUUAGGAAGAAUACCGGUGGCGAAGGCGACUUUCUGGUCAUCAUCUGACGCUGAGGUACGAAAGCGUGGGUAGCAAACAGG
rnacentral:rRNA from 1 species